GAUGAAGAACGCAGCGAAAUGCGAUAAGUAAUGUGAAUUGCAGAAUUCAGUGAAUCAUCGAAUCUUUGAACGCAUCUUGCGCUCCUUGGUAUUCCUUGGAGCAUGCCUGUUUGAGUAUCAUGAGCAAAUCUCAAAGUCAAUUCCUUUUGUUGAUUCAAUUGGUUUUGCUUUGGACUUGGAGGCCUUGCAGAUUUCACCGUCUGCUCCUCUUAAAUGCAUUAGCUGGAUCUCAGUAAUUAUGCUUGGUUCCACUCGGCGUGAUAAGUAUCACUCGCUGAGGACACUGUUAAAAAGGUGGCCAGGAAAAUACUGAUUGAACCGCUUCUAACGGUCUAUUAAGUUAGACAAUUACCCUUAAGUUUGAUCUCAAAUCAGGUAGGACUACCCGCUGAACUUAAGCAUAUCAAUAAGCGGAGGA
rnacentral:misc_RNA from 1 species